AACAAAGCUAGCAGGUGCAGGAAGGGGAUCUACAUUUGCAUCAGUCAUUUUAAGUGUGAAUGGCGACAAAUGAAAGAAUGAAUGAAAUAUAUGUGAUACAAAAUUGUUACUGAAGGACUAAUUUGAUUUUAAAAAAAAUACAAAACUCCUGUAAACACAUCACCAACAGUACCGAUGAACAGAUGAGACAACAACCAGAUUUCAGAAAAUCUCAUGAAUCAAGGGAAAAACACAAAGAAAACUUUAUGAAUACACCACGAGUACCACCAAUCAACCAACAAACAACUUCAAAACUGACAAAUCAAGGAGAAAAUACUAACCGAUUGCGAAGAAAAACUGAGAAAACCCUAGGUUGUGAAAACUGGUGAAAACCUCAACGACAAAGGAUGAAACUAGUAUCGGACGAUAACCCUUAACGAGAAGAGUCGGAUUACCCGCUCUGAUACCAUGUUAACAUCCAUGGAAGCCAUGGAUGUGAGGAUUAACGAGGAAGAUGAACAGUAGUCAAUGAGAGAGAAAGGAGAGAAUAUGUGAAAGGUCGGUGGGUUUAUUUCUCGAAUGUCCCAA
rnacentral:lncRNA from 1 species